GAGACCGCCGGCAGCCUAUCCACAUCGUGCCUUCAGUUGCCACGGUGACUGAAGCCUCUGUUGCCAUCGGUGACCAACAGUGUUCCAAAAUUACACUAGCUUCAUUUUGCUGGUUAUUUUCUGUCCCUGGUUGUUGACAAAUUGGACACAAAUCCACGGGAACUGCUUUGCUGUUGCUACGCUUCUGCGGCGUGCCGGGGCAGAUGUGUCUGUAGCUGUGCUGUGGUGAGGUAGUAAGUUGUGUUGUUGUGGGGUGUGGGAUAUUGUAACCCCUAUUUUGGAGAUACAACUGUACAACUUACUGCCUUCCACAACGUGGCAGUAACCUCCAGCUUCUGCAAUGUGUGCAGACAGGCCCUUGUAGAGUUGGUGCUCACUUUUCUACGCCCGCCACCCCAGCAUGCAUUGCGAUUCCACCGGAAGCCCGAAACUCCGAUUCCAUAUUUAAGUAUUAACCUUUAUCCUAUUCUUUUUCACUUUAUAUUGCGUUUUAUUUGAUUUGAUUUUUUUCCAAGUUUGUUUUAUUAUUUUUUAUUUAGUUUCAUGUCAUUAGAGUCCUGAUCCACAACCAAAGGU
rnacentral:lncRNA from 1 species